AUGGUAUGCACUUUUCUCAUGUAAAACAUUGCAAUCUAUUUGUAUAUCCGUAUGGAUGGUUUAUCAAAUGGCCMGUAUGGUUUGUUCAUGCCUAUCUGUGACAUUUUAUGUCAUAUGGUUGAUGCCAUAGCGGUGACCUGGUAAACAGCAGAUAGUUUUUAGCAGUCAUGCAACCACAUUUUAUGUGUAUCACGGCUUGUGUAUUGUUACGUGAGUGCAGUGAUAGCAUGUACUUGAUUGGCAAUGCSAUAGGUUUGGGAACCUUCAGGACCCGUCUUGAAACACGGACCAAGAAGUCUAACAUGUGUGCRAGUCAUUGGGUAUUUUGUUGAAACCUAAGGGCGCAAUUAAAAUAACUAUUUUAUGGGAUUACAAGUGAAUUCRCGUUCAUUUCUUCAUCCCGGGGCGUUCUAUACGAACAUGGUGCAAGCAAUUGAACCCUCUGUUCAAGAGCGUACCUUGAGCAUACAUGCUGUGACCCGAAAGAUGGUGAACUAUACCUGAUCASAUCGAARCCAGGAGAAAUUCUGGUGGAGGAUCGAAACAGUUCUGACGUGCAAAUCGAUUGUCAGAAUUGGGUAUAGGGGCGAAAGACCARUCGAACCAUCUAGUAGMUGGUUCCCUCCGAAGUUUCCCUCAG
rnacentral:rRNA from 1 species